AACUUGAGAGUUUGAUCCUGGCUCAGAACGAACGCUGGCGGCAGGCUUAACACAUGCAAGUCGAGCGCCCCGCAAGGGGAGCGGCAGACGGGUGAGUAACGCGUGGGAAUCUACCCAUCUCUACGGAACAACUCCGGGAAACUGGAGCUAAUACCGUAUACGUCCUUCGGGAGAAAGAUUUAUCGGAGAUGGAUGAGCCCGCGUUGGAUUAGCUAGUUGGUGGGGUAAUGGCCUACCAAGGCGACGAUCCAUAGCUGGUCUGAGAGGAUGAUCAGCCACACUGGGACUGAGACACGGCCCAGACUCCUACGGGAGGCAGCAGUGGGGAAUAUUGGACAAUGGGCGCAAGCCUGAUCCAGCCA
rnacentral:rRNA from 1 species